rnacentral:lncRNA from 1 species
GACCCUCUCCAUUAACUCUCUCUCUUUCUGAUUGAGUGUAAGCUGCUAUAUGAAGGGAUCCACAAGACGAAUAAUUAAGGGGGACCUCUGAUCAACAGCCAGCAAGGAACUGAAUCCCUCAGACCCACAACUCACAAGAAACUGAAGCUGAAGCAGAUUCUUCCUCAGUCAAGCUUCAGGUGCCCAGCUGUAUUGGUAGAGGAGACCAACCACACCCUCCACAGCACAGCACCUGGAGAGGAACUGCUGCCAUGACCAUAGAGGACACCCUCUGGAUACAAUGCCAGACUUGAUGUGGGACUGACCAACCUAUGGACCCCAGGCACCACCACCCAGACCUGCUCAGCACCUGAAACAUUCACAGCCGUGGAGAGAGAACUGUUCACUGCUACCAUCCACACUUCUGGGCCCCUUCAGCAGCAGGGUGACAAGGAAGAGGGAAAUCGACUUGGAAAAGAGGGGACCUCUGACCCAAGAGUUCGGUCAAUGCAUAUGUUGGCAGCCAGCUGCACAUCGCACCAAAUAUGAACUUCAAAUAGAAGAAAGCCUCAUUUGGAAGAAAGCUCAUGCACAGACUGUAAAUAUUUCAGAGCAGAUUGUGUCUCUGUAGAUUAACAUCAAUUUUGCAGCAGCCAUGGCUUGUCCUAUGAGAGAUGAUUCUACCACAAGAACCCAACCACAAGGACGGCUCCUCUUUGAAGUUUUUACAGUCGAUCUCUGGAUCAGCCAGCGAAGUCCUGCUCCCAGGAUCCAGGGAGAGACCAUGGGUGCCCUCUAGGGCAUGGUACAAAGGGAGGAUUUGUUCCAGUAGAGAAUAGAAUAGGCCUUUUCUUUCACCUUUUGGUUUCCAGGUGCUGAACUACAUGUAGGAGUCUUGGUAGUAAAACCAAGCUUAAUGGUUAUUGAAAUAGAACUACCAGAGAGGUGGUAGAAGCACAUGUUUUGUACAAGUUGGUUAACUGCCAGCAGCUUUGAAUCGUGUAACUGCUUACAAAAAAUUUCACAUGGUCCAGGAAUAAGAGGAAACAAAUGUAUGAAAAACAAAUUCCCAGAUACUUACAUUUAAAAUAAAAAGCAAACUAACAAUAA